rnacentral:SRP_RNA from 1 species
GCUGGGCAUGGUGUGCAUGCCUGUAAUCCCAGUUGCUCAGGAGGCUGAGACAGGAGAAUUGCUUGAGCCCGGGAGGCGGAGGUUGUGGUGAGCCGAGAUCAUGCCACUUCACUCCAGCCUGGGCGACAGAGUAAGACUCUGUCUCAA